CAAUAGCGUAUAUUAAAGUUGUUGCGGUUAAAAAGCUCGUAGUUGGAUUUCUGCCGAGGACGACCAGUCCGCCCACUGGGUGAGCAUCUGGCUCAGCCUUAGCAUCUUCUUGGAGAACGUAUCUGCACUUCAUUGUGUGGUGCGGUAACCAGGACUUUUACUUUGAGGAAAUUAGAGUGUUUCAAGCAGGCGUGCGCCUUGAAUACAUUAGCAUGGAAUAAUAAGAUAGGACCUUAGUUCUAUUUUGUUGGUUUCUAGAGCUGGGGUAAAGAUUAAUAGGGAUAGUUGGGGGCAUUCGUAUUUAACUGUCGGAGGUGAAAUUCUUGGAUUUGUUAAAGACGGACUACUGCGAAAGCAUUUGCCAAGGAUGUUUUCAUUGA
rnacentral:rRNA from 1 species